rnacentral:rRNA from 1 species
CCUACGUGGAGCUGCAGUGGGGAAUAUUGGACAAUGGGCGAAAGCCUGAUCCAGCCAUGCCGCGUGUGUGAAGAAGGCCUUCGGGUUGUAAAGCACUUUCAGUGGGGAAGAAAGCCUUGGGGCUAAUACCCUCGAGGAAGGACAUCACCCACAGAAGAAGCACCGGCUAACUCCGUGCCAGCAGCCGCGGUAAUACGGAGGGUGCGAGCGUUAAUCGGAAUUACUGGGCGUAAAGCGCGCGUAGGCGGUCUGAUAAGCCGGUUGUGAAAGCCCCGGGCUCAACCUGGGAACGGCAUCCGGAACUGUCAGGCUAGAGUGCAGGAGAGGAAGGUAGAAUUCCCGGUGUAGCGGUGAAAUGCGUAGAGAUCGGGAGGAAUACCAGUGGCGAAGGCGGCCUUCUGGACUGACACUGACGCUGAGGUGCGAAAGCGUGGGUAGCAAACAGGAUUAGAUACCCUUGUAGUC